rnacentral:tRNA from 1 species
ACUAUUUUGUCAGAUUAAUGUAAUAAAUUUAGAAUUUAUUUAAGUAUAAUAAUUAUAUACAUAUAGUA